rnacentral:rRNA from 1 species
UACGGGGGGGGGCGAGCGUUGUUCGGAAUUACUGGGCGUAAAGGGCGCGUAGGCGGUCUGCUAAGUUGGAUGUGAAAACUCUGGGCUUAACCCAGAGCCUGCAUUCAAAACUGACAGGCUAGAGUUCUGGAGGGGAUAGCGGAAUUCCUGGUGUAGCGGUGAAAUGCGUAGAUAUCAGGAGGAACACCGGUGGCGAAGGCGGCUAUCUGGACAGAAACUGACGCUGAGGCGCGAAAGCUAGGGGAGCAAACAGG